rnacentral:rRNA from 1 species
UACGUGGGGUGCAAGCGUUGUUCGGAAUUACUGGGCGUAAAGCGCGUGUAGGCUGCUUUUUAUGUCAGGUGUGAAAGCCCUCGGCCUAACCGAGGAAGUGCGCCUGAAACUGAAAAGCUUGAGUACGAGAGAGGGGGACGGAAUUCCCAGUGUAGAGGUGAAAUUCGUAGAUAUUGGGAGGAACACCGGCGGCGAAAGCGGUUCCCUGGAUCGAUACUGACGCUAAGACGCGAAAGCGUGGGGAUCAAACAGGAUUAGAUACCCUGGUAGUCCACGCCGUAAACGAUGGAUAUUAGUUGUUGCGGGCUUAACCCUCGCAGUGACGACGCUAACGCAUUAAAUAUCCCGCCUGGGGAGUACGGCCGCAAGGUUAAA